rnacentral:rRNA from 1 species
UACGGGGGGGGCAAGCGUUGUUCGGAAUUACUGGGCGUAAAGGGCUCGUAGGCGGCCAACUAAGUCAGACGUGAAAUCCCUCGGCUUAACCGGGGAACUGCGUCUGAUACUGGAUGGCUCGAGUUUGGGAGAGGGAUGCGGAAUUCCAGGUGUAGCGGUGAAAUGCGUAGAUAUCUGGGGGAACACCGGUGGCGAAGGCGGCAUCCUGGACCAACACUGACGCUGAUGAGCGAAAGCCAGGGGAGCAAACGGG